AACGAACGCUGGCGGCAUGCCUAACACAUGCAAGUCGAACGAGACCUUCGGGUCUAGUGGCGCACGGGUGCGUAACGCGUGGGAACCUGCCCUUAGGUUCGGAAUAACUCCCCGAAAGGGGUGCUAAUACCGGAUAAUGUCUUCGGACCAAAGAUUUAUCGCCUUUGGAUGGGCCCGCGUUGGAUUAGCUAGUUGGUAGGGUAAAAGCCUACCAAGGCGACGAUCCAUAGCUGGUCUGAGAGGAUGAUCAGCCACACUGGGACUGAGACACGGCCCAGACUCCUACGGGAGGCAGCAGUGGGGAAUAUUGGACAAUGGGCGAAAGCCUGAUCCAGCAAUGCCGCGUGAGGGAUGAAGGCCUUAGGGUUGGAAAGCUCUUUUACCCGGGAUGAUAAUGACAGUACCGGGAGAAUAAGCUCCGGCUAACUCCGUGC
rnacentral:rRNA from 1 species